AAAAUUAUCAUUUUAUUAAAACUUAUGACUGGUAACAUUUUUGAUGUAUCAGUUGCAAUAUGAGUUCCGAAUAAAAGAAUUGAAUAUAUAAACAGAAAAAUAUAAUUUUUCUUAUUAAGCUAUUUUUAAAAUAAAUAAAAAUAAAAAUAAAAUUUAUUUUAAAUAAGUAUAAAAUUUUGAAAAUUAAUUUUCUGUAUAUAUUAUUUUCUAAAUAUUAUAAUAACUACUAAUAAUAUUUAUUAUAAUAUCAAUAAUAAAAACAUGAAAAUUUAUAAUACCAUUUUGCAAGUGAAAAUGAAAUUUUUUUUGCAAUCAAGAAGAAGUUGACAGAAGAAAAUAGACCUUGAGCUUUUGGGUUUCAAAGUGACGUGAUACCACCACGUUUUUCACUUUUUGUAAAAUGUUUAUUUUUUUUAAAACUAUCAAUUAAAUUUGUAAUUCAACUUCUAAAACAUGGAAUUUUGGUUGAUGUAGGUUUAUGUUUUGAGUUAGCAUUUUUAUAAAGGGUUUAAGUCAAAAUUGUAACUCAACUACAAUACAUCUUAAAUCAAACUUAAAAUCAAAAACUUAGAUUUAAUGCAUGAUUGGUAACAUUUUUGAGUUACAAGCUUAACUCAAACUUAAUCAACUCUACCACAUGUCACCAAUCAAAGCCAGUAUUCAUGUCUCACUACUUUUGCUUCUUGGGUUUGGCUCAUUCAAUUUAGUUAAUUUAGGUGAUGAUUGUUUGUGUGGUUUCUAGAUUUUAGAUUUUGGUUUUUAGUUUUUAGUUUUUGGUUUUUAGAUUUUAGAUUUUGGUUUUUGGAUUUUAGAUUUUGCAGUAGAUUUUGGUUUUUUGAAAAACAUGAAUGGUGACUUUAGAUUUUGGUUUUUAGUUUUUGGUUUUGGCUUUUAAAGCAAUAAAAUGAAAAAAAUUAUUAAUAGUAAAAUAUUUAAUCUGGACAUAGUAAAUAUAAAAUAUCCUUAUCAAAACACACAUAAGCUUAUUUUAAAAUAAAUAAACAGCAAACACAAAAAAUAUUAUUGUGUUGUAAACAUAAACUUAAAAAUUUAAUUCUAUGUGUAGAAUUUAACUCUAUAUGCAAUAAUUUUUUGUGUAAAACUUUAGAAUUAAAUAAUUAUUGAUAAAUAAUAUUUACAAAUUUAAAUUAAAAAUUAACAAAAAUUAACAAUAUUUCUACAAUUGCGGAAAAUAUAAGUCUACACAUAUGGUAUAAUACAUAAUAAUAGUUACAGUAUAUUUUAUGAAUAAAGUAAAAUUUAAUUAUAUUUUAAAAACAAUGGCAAAAAAUAAACUUUAUUAAAAUAUUUUACAUUAAUAUUAAUUGAAAAUAUUUUAAAACACAGUAGUAAUUAAAGUGUGACAAAAUAUUAUGCUUUAGUUAACAACUUUAAUUAAUGACAUUUUUGUAAAAUACAACUUUAAUUAAUUUUAUAUAAAAUGUAUGGUACAAAGAUUAAAACAUUAAUAAAUUAACUUAUCUUUAUAAAAUUUUAAUUGUUUCUAUAAGUAGUGAAGAUAUAACUCCAAUUGCUUAGAAAAGUGAUGAUGUUUUACGUUUAUUUUGUGGGCUUUGCAGAAUGAUAAGUGUAUGUCUUAUAUACUACAAUUUUAUCUAAAAUUAAUAAUAUUUUUAAAAAAUACUUUUAUGGUUUUUGCUCGUGAGAAACCAAGAAAAAAGAGAUUUUGGUUUCUAAGUAAAAAAAGGUAAAAUGAAUCAGAAACUAGUUUCCCUAGAAAAUAGGAAAACUAGUUUCACUAGUUUCUUUUAUCACGACAGCAUAAAAGAAAAAGAAAACCCUUUUUUUACACCACCGGCAACAUGUUUUAAAUCUUAAAAUUUGUGGCUGGGAGGAACAGAAGAUUUGGAGAGAGACGUGACAGAUUUACAUACUAAAAGUAAUUUUAUUGUUAUAACUGAUGAUAGUUUGUGGCUUAUAAAAAAAAAGGAACAAAUCAACUGCAGUUAAAUGUGCAGACGCAUGCUUUGUCUUUUAUCCUGUCUUUUGUCUUGUCUCUUACAUUCGCACACUCGCCUGUUUCAUGUAACCAUUUCCACUUCAAAGCGCACUGAAAUAAACACACCAGAGGUUGGCAGCUUUCUUCUCCUACUAUAUAAUCAAGACAUAGUUGUUCUCCUUGCGUUUCCUUUGUUACCAUUCCUAAAAUAAAUAUUCAAAACAUAACUUCAGUUUUUGAAAAUCUCAACGUGGGGAUAAAAGUGCUAUAUAAAAACAUGGAAAAUAUUAUAUGUGUUGAUGUGAAAAAUAAACCUAAAACAAGGAUGACCAUAAACAUAGCAAGAAUAAUGGCUUUCGUCAUUUUAUGAUACAACAUAAAUAAAAGUUUGAAAGAAAUUCAAAGUGAGCGUAAUCAUAACUAGAGAUUGACCCGCACGCCCGUGCGGGUGUUAAUUUUUACUUUCUUAUAAAUCGAUAUUUUAUUUUUAUGACUCAUAAUCGAACCUGAAUCAAAUAGAGUAAUAUGAUUACUUUUGGUUAUUUGGUUAUUUUUAGUUUAAUUUGAAUUCAACAUACCCGAAUUGAAUCGGUUAAUAUUCUUACUUUUCAUACAAAUAUCUGUACCGGCGUCAAAUACAUUAGUUUUUGGAUAUUUGUAGGUUUGUAUAUAUCAAGACUGAAUUCAUCUGGACCCGAUUCGAAACACACAUGAAAAUUUAUAAUACCGAAAUGAAGUCUAGUUUCAAAACUCAAAAAGCAUGAUAACCCACAGAAAUAACUCGUAGCUGAAUAGUUAUCCGAAUGUCCAUGUCUAACCGAUACAUAAGUAAAUAAAAAAAAUUGUUAACCAUUUUGAAUUCUUAUCACAAAUAGAGUGGUUUCAUUCAAAUAUGUCGAAUUAUUAUAGUUAAUAUGUAAAUAAUCCUGGCAAAAUAUUAUAGUAAAUAUAAUUAAUGAGAUAGUUAAAAAGUGAGAAAAUGAAUGUAAAAGAUAAAA